UGUGUGUGUGUGUGUGUUAUGGUGUCUGCAGGCCUUCAACACAUCUUUCUUUGGCAGAGCUUAGUGACGCAAAUUGUACACAGUUGGGCAGUGUGUGAUUAAUCAAAUUUUGAUUGCGAUUUCGAUCUGAACAUUUUCUAUUUGAACGGUUUCUUAAGGGGGAAUUGGAAAGUUCUCAGUUACAAAGUGUUUUUUUUGGAGAGAAAUGCUGAAAAAAUUGAAUCAUGUUUUCAUCUCAAAAAUAAUCGUUUGAAUAAGCGUGAUUUCAAUAUUAACCAAAAUAAUUGUGAUUAUGAUUUUUUCCAUAAUCAAGCAGCCCUAAUACACACAAUGUUAUAACAAAAACCCUGAUAAUUAUUAUAUCUCAUGUGUGUGGAAAUUAAUGAGGCAAAGGAAAACAGCACAUGGUAUCAACUCAGGCUGGGGUACGUGUGCUCAGCAGUCUAGAGUAGAGAAUAUGAAUGAGGUCUUGAUGAUGCACAAGAGGGUUUCACACGAUGCCACGCACAUUCAGAGACGCCAUCUCAGUACUUUUUCCCCCAUUGCAAAGAGAAUAACAACAAGUGGUUGCUUGGUUCUCCUCAAAUGUUUGGUAAAGAAGUACAAGAUGGUGCUCUAAAAUAUAUUGUACCAAACGGUAUCAGUAAUAUGGGGCUCACACGUCGCCGAGUCUGAAAGCGAAAAGCAUUGUCAUAGAAAAUGUUUCACAUUACUUUUCUGUUGUUUAACAUAAUUGCAAUUUGCCCUGUUAGCACAGGGCUUUGUUUGAUCCAGCCGUCUAUUAUUUGGAUAUUAGAAACAUGCUGUUCAUGUGAACUGGUGUGUGACAAAAGAAGAUCAAUGCCAUGUGGAUCUUUGCCAGAGGGAAAUUUCCCCAACUCCGAAAAAACCCAAACAUACCCCAAGCUGAGAGACAUAUAAUUUGGUAGGUCGUCAAAGUUGCAAAACAAAAUUCCCCAAGCAACUAGCGUAGGGAGGGAAGGCUACAUCAGUGCGUCCCCUCGAAUAACCUCAAUGACCCCACGAGUGCUCGGGGAAGGGAGAGUUCGAUGACGAAGCAGUUCUUAAAAACACACAGAAGCAGCACUCUCCACUCCUGUAAUUUCAGCUUCUUAAAACGCACCAUAAUUAGUGACAGUUGGUGGGUAGGACUUGGCUUCUGAUGUCGGCUUAAGAACGCAUUCUUGCUAAUUGCCUUUAAUGGAGCACUGCUGGACGGCCUGACUCGAUCUCGCAGGGCAACGGACAGGAAAUCCAGUCAGCACGGUUAUGGUGCCAAGUGGGUGUGGUCGAUUGUGUCCCUUCCUGCUUCAGGGGAGGAAAUGGCACGGGAGAUUUGUCCUUGUACGAGCCUUUCACACGGCCAGGCAGAAAUGACUCAAUGUCCAUCCAUCACACACACUACCAUUCUCCAGUCACAUUGCUCGCAGGUCACUUGUGUGAGUCCCUUGCUGCUCCCAUCCACCUCCUAGACACCCCCCGACUGCCAUGCCUGCUCCGGCUGUUAUUUCACCUUGUUACUUUCUUCCUUGCACUUCCUACUCUGUCAGGGUUACGUCAGGCUAAACAGUAAAAACCAAACCACAACGUCAAGCCCGUAGCUUCACCUUGCUGCCGCCAGAGUUUUUUUUUCUCGACCAGACAGAGAGAAAAAAAAAAGGAAGAAAAAGAGAAGAGGAUGUUUUGGGUUCCCGUGCGUCGUCCGGACCGGCUCCGCGGUUCUGGGCCAAACAUAAGUUCACAGCCCAUUCAUGUUGAGCUUGAGGUUUUUUUCCGACAGCAGCGCAGGGAAGGAAACACUACAAUGCUGUUCUGUACAACGCCGGGAGGUGAGAAGAGACCGCUACAUAAAGCACGUAGCCAGACCUGCCAGCGAUAUUCACAAUGGACUUUGUGUGGCUUUUGGACAAUAUCCUUCAUGCCCCGACAUGGUCUGUGAUACCGGGGGGGGGUUGGGGGGGGAACCAUUACCUUUCAGUUGAUAUUAAAGUGUGCUUCACUACCCCAUAAAGGCUCAAUGGAAUAACAUUAAAAAUCUGUUAUUCAGCAAUCAAUCAAAAUGAUCUGGUAUAACAGAUACCAGAUCAUUAUUGCAUUAGGAACAAUAAGCUUUAAUUUUAUCUUGAGCGGCUUUAUGGUUCUCAAAGGAAUUGGGUGUUGUUGUCUCCUAAAUUACUAUUGACUGAUAGGGGGCCUUAAGGGGGAACUUGAUUUCAGGCUAGCCUGAUGUUAUUGCUUGCAUUCCCUGGGCUGUAUUCACCAACUUUUGUAAAAAAAAAAAAAAAAGAACACGUAGUGCAAAGCAUAUGUAAAAAAUAUAUAUAUAUAUAAAUGUUAAGAAAGAUUGAAUAUUUUGGACUCUCUGGACUGGAUGAAUAGCUUGUUUUAAAACACAGGAAUUGACAGGGUGUAUUGACAGGGACAAAGAUCAGUGAUGACAGGCCAUUCUGAAUCAAUCAAAUCAAAUAAUACUCACUUGUAUAUCAAGGAUCAAUCAAAGCCUGACAAUGUCAAUCGAGAAGAACGGGUAUAAUGGUCAGUUUACGUGGCCGAUUGCAUUUGGCUAUAUUUCUCUCUCAUCAACCCCCUUACUUCGGUUUAAUAACGAAAAAUCAGUGCUCGCAACCUUUGCCCUGCCAUAAUCACA